UACGUAGGGUGCAAGCGUUAAUCGGAAUUACUGGGCGUAAAGCGUGCGCAGGCGGUUAUGUAAGACAGUUGUGAAAUCCCCGGGCUCAACCUGGGAAUUGCAUCUGUGACUGCAUAGCUAGAGUACGGUAGGAGGGGGAUGGAAUUCCGCGUGUAGCAGUGAAAUGCGUAGAUAUGCGGAGGAACACCGAUGGCGAAGGCAUCCCCUGGACCUGUACUGACGCUCAUGCACGAAAGGCGUGGGGAGCAAACAGG
rnacentral:rRNA from 1 species